rnacentral:rRNA from 1 species
UAUGAAGGGGGCUAGCGUUGCUCGGAAUCACUGGGCGUAAAGCGCACGUAGGCGGAUUGCUAAGUCAGGGGUGAAAUCCUGGAGCUCAACUCCAGAACUGCCUUUGAUACUGGCGAUCUUGAGUCCGGGAGAGGUGAGUGGAACUGCGAGUGUAGAGGUGAAAUUCGUAGAUAUUCGCAAGAACACCAGUGGCGAAGGCGGCUCACUGGCCCGGUACUGACGCUGAGGUGCGAAAGCGUGGGGAGCAAACAGG